CUUUACAAACGGGGAGCUGGUGUUACCGGCUGAGAGGAAGUUUAGUGAAACUUCGACCCCUGACCUGAUUUGGAUAAUGCCAACGGAGGGAGAUCAUUAAAUUUGAAA
rnacentral:ncRNA from 2 species